rnacentral:lncRNA from 1 species
AAAUAUAUAAUAUGAAUUUUCCCCUUCCUUGCAAUGGACUACUCUGGACUGUUCACACAGUAAAACAAGGGUCAACACCAUAAAAUGGACAAAUUGGAAUGAAAACUAGCUCAAAAGAGUGAAUACCUUUUAUAACAAAACUGUUUAUGGUAUGGUCAACGGGCCAAGCCAGAAGCAUCACAUCGAUUCAAAGGAGUUGCAGAUGUUAAAAUAAUAGUUAGAUACCUGAAAGAGGAAGAAAAGUCAAACUUUCAAUUACUUCAUGUGUAAACAUACAUGUUUGAAUAUUUGCACCAGAUAUUUUUCCAGUUUCACUGAAAUGAGUCUCAAUGAUCUUUCUCUUUGAAAUUCAAUCAAAUUAAGAGAUUUCAGCACCAAAUUUUAGAGGAUCAGAAACCUAAUGAAUCAACCAAAACAAUCAAUAUAAUAAAUUGGAAAUCUUACAAAACGACUCGAAUUGUCAUUUCUUAAUGUUUUUCCAUUACCAAAGGCUACCAGUAUUGGAUUAGUCUGUAAUAUCUCGUUCACCGUUCCACUUCCACCACCAAGAGUGACAGAGAACACAGUAUAGUAUAUGGAUAAACCUCAAUCUUUAUUAUUCAACCCAACAAUAAAGGACUGUGAGAUGUCCAAUAUAUAGAAAACAUAACAGAGGAGAUUAUUCUAGAAAAAGGUAAAAUAUUCUAUCCUAACAAACUAACAAAUAAAGUAACAAAAUGUAAUAUUAGUGGGGUAAAGAAAAUAUGCCAGGUGUAGGCUAAAACAGAAAUGUAGAAAACCUGUCUUUCUUACAAAGAGCAGGCAAGUAUUGCAUUGUUAUUUUUGCUGUCUCGGUCUUUCCGGCUCCACUAUCACCACUGAAUAUGUAGAUAAAAGGAGUUAUUGCAAGUUUUAAUUCAAAGCGGAGACGAGGACGCUGUAGAAGUCAAGAUUCUUGCACUCGAGGAGGGACCGACGGUGAGCCUGGGUCUGGGAAGGAAGGGUGGAUUUAGGGGCGAAGGACGGGUCCUCAGGACAGUACUCGAUGGAAUCGAUGGAGGUGAGGCCUGGAGGUACUGGAGAACCGGUUUGCGGUUGGGGAGGGUGACGAAGGAGACGCUGGCGAAAUUGUUGUGAAUGUAUUUGAGGUGGUGGUUCUUGAUGAGUGUACCAGGGUUUCCAGAAGCGUUUAUAA